GAUGAACGCUGGCGGCGUGCCUAAUACAUGCAAGUCGAGCGAACAGACGAGGAGCUUGCUCCUCUGACGUUAGCGGCGGACAGGUGAGUAACACGUGGAUAACCUACCUAUAAGACUGGGAUAACUUCGGGAAACCGGAGCUAAUACCGGAUAAUAUAUUGAACCGCAUGGUUCAAUAGUGAAAGACGGUUUUGCUGUCACUUAUAGAUGGAUCCGCGCCGCAUUAGCUAGUUGGUAAGGUAACGGCUUACCAAGGCGACGAUGCGUAGCCGACCUGAGAGGGUGAUCGGCCACACUGGAACUGAGACACGGUCCAGACUCCUACGGGAGGCAGCAGUAGGGAAUCUUCCGCAAUGGGCGAAAGCUUGACGGAGCAACGCCGCGUGAGUGAUGAAGGUCUUCGGAUCGUAAAACUCUGUUAUUAGGGAAGAACAAAUGUGUAAGUAACUAUGCACGUCUUGACGGUACCUAAUCAGAAAGCCACGGCUAACUACGUG
rnacentral:rRNA from 1 species